UGAGGAAUAUUGGUCAAUGGUCGCAAGACUGAACCAGCCAUGCCGCGUGCAGGAAGACGGUCCUAUGGAUUGUAAACUGCUUUUAUACAGGAAGAAACCCUCCCACGUGUGGGAGCUUGACGGUACUGUAGGAAUAAGGAUCGGCUAACUCCGUGCCAGCAGCCGCGGUAAUACGGAGGAUCCAAGCGUUAUCCGGAAUCAUUGGGUUUAAAGGGUCCGUAGGCGGUCUUAUAAGUCAGUGGUGAAAGCCCAUCGCUCAACGAUGGAACUGCCAUUGAUACUGUAAGACUUGAAUGCUUAGGAAGUAACUAGAAUAUGUAGUGUAGCGGUGAAAUGCUUAGAUAUUACAUGGAAUACCAAUUGCGAAGGCAGGUUACUACUAAGUGAUUGACGCUGAUGGACGAAAGCGUGGGGAGCGAACAGG
rnacentral:rRNA from 2 species